UGCAGUCGACGAUGAAGCCCAGCUUGCUGGGUGGAUUAGUGGCGAACGGGUGAGUAACACGUGAGUAACCUGCCCUUAACUCUGGGAUAAGCCUGGGAAACUGGGUCUAAUACCGGAUAGGAGCGCCCACCGCAUGGUGGGUGUUGGAAAGAUUUAUCGGUUUUGGAUGGACUCGCGGCCUAUCAGCUUGUUGGUGAGGUAAUGGCUCACCAAGGCGACGACGGGUAGCCGGCCUGAGAGGGUGACCGGCCACACUGGGACUGAGACACGGCCCAGACUCCUACGGGAGGCAGCAGUGGGGAAUAUUGCACAAUGGGCGAAAGCCUGAUGCAGCGACGCCGCGUGAGGGAUGACGGCCUUCGGGUUGUAAACCUCUUUCAGUAGGGAAGAAGCGAAAGUGACGGUACCUGCAGAAGAAGCACCGGCUAACUACGUGCCAGCAGCCGCGGUAAUACGUAGGGUGCGAGCGUUAUCCGGAAUUAUUGGGCGUAAAGAGCUCGUAGGCGGUUUGUCGCGUCUGUCGUGAAAGUCCGGGGCUUAACCCCGGAUCUGCGGUGGGUACGGGCAGACUAGAGUGCAGUAGGGGAGACUGGAAUUCCUGGUGUAGCGGUGGAAUGCGCAGAUAUCAGGAGGAACACCGAUGGCGAAGGCAGGUCUCUGGGCUGUAACUGACGCUGAGGAGCGAAAGCAUGGGGAGCGAACAGGAUUAGAUACCCUGGUAGUCCAUGCCGUAAACGUUGGGCACUAGGUGUGGGGACCAUUCCACGGUUUCCGCGCCGCAGCUAACGCAUUAAGUGCCCCGCCUGGGGAGUACGGCCGCAAGGCUAAAACUCAAAGGAAUUGACGGGGGCCCGCACAAGCGGCGGAGCAUGCGGAUUAAUUCGAUGCAACGCGAAGAACCUUACCAAGGCUUGACAUGUUCUCGAUCGCCGUAGAGAUACGGUUUCCCCUUUGGGGCGGGUUCACAGGUGGUGCAUGGUUGUCGUCAGCUCGUGUCGUGAGAUGUUGGGUUAAGUCCCGCAACGAGCGCAACCCUCGUUCCAUGUUGCCAGCACGUAAUGGUGGGGGAC
rnacentral:rRNA from 1 species